rfam:Eucalyptus grandis cultivar BRASTZ1 unplaced genomic scaffold scaffold_9, whole genome shotgun sequence.
AAGACAAGAGAUGCUCCGACUAGCCAAGGAGACUGCCUGCAACCAACCAGUUCCAUUGUAUGAUGAGUUUCUGAAGAUCAACUCGGUGAUGCAUGAAGAAAUCGAGUUCGGAGCAGGCAAGUCAUCCUUGGCUAUCAAAACAAGGCUCUCAUCC